rnacentral:tRNA from 1 species
GGGCCCGUAGCUCAGCUUGGAUAGAGCAGCAACCUUCUAAGUUGAUGGUCGCGGGUUCAAAAGGAUCCUGGAAAUCCCGCCGGGCCCG